rnacentral:pre_miRNA from 1 species
CUAAUACUCCCUCCGUUUCGAAUUACUCGUCGUAGGUAUGAAUGUAUCUAGAUGUAUUUUAAUUUUAAAUACAUUCAUUUUUGCAACGAGUAAUUUGGAAUGAAGGAAGUAGCAC